GACGAACGCUGGCGGCGUGCUUAACACAUGCAAGUCGAACGAAGUGGCGAACGGGUGAGUAACGCGUAAUCAACCUGCCCUUCAGAGGGGGACAACAGUUGGAAACGACGGCUAAUACCGCAUACUGAAGGAGGGGAUUGCGUGUGAUUAGGUAGUUGGGGGGGUAACGGCCCACCAAGGCGAUGAUCAGUAGCCGGUCUGAUAGGAUGAACGGCCAAAUUGGGACUGAGACACGGCCCAGACUCCUACGGGAGGCAGCAGGGGGGAAUCUUCCGCAAUGGACGGAAGUCUGACGGAGCAACGCCGCGUGAGUGAUGACGGCCUUCGGGUGGUAAAACUCUGUUAAUCGGGACGCGGUACCGGAAUAGAAAGCCACGGCUAACUACGUGCCAGCAGCCGCGGUAAUAC
rnacentral:rRNA from 1 species